UACGAAGGGGGCUAGCGUUGCUCGGAAUCACUGGGCGUAAAGGGUGCGUAGGCGGAUCUUUAAGUCAGGGGUGAAAUCCUGGAGCUCAACUCCAGAACUGCCUUUGAUACUGAAGAUCUUGAGUUCGGGAGAGGUGAGUGGAACUGCGAGUGUAGAGGUGAAAUUCGUAGAUAUUCGCAAGAACACCAGUGGCGAAGGCGGCGAUCUGGGUCGAUACUGACGCUGAGGUGCGAAAGCGUGGGGAGCAAACAGG
rnacentral:rRNA from 1 species